UUUGUUGAAUGAUGAGAAUAAGCAAUUACAGUUAUCCCUGUCUGAUGUAUUUUGCUGAAUGCUUUUGAUCUGACUUAAAA
rnacentral:snoRNA from 1 species